GUGCUCACUUCAGUAGCACAUAAACUAAAAUUGGAACAAUACAAAGAUCAGCGCAACUUCUGUGCGAGGGCGACAUACAAAUUUGUGAAGUGUUCCAUAUCUGG